UUCAGAUGCAAGUUUUCGGUUCCUGGUUAAUGGCCCAGUCGUUUUCUGUUGAGCUUUCCCUGUGAAGACACUGAGGCUGGAAAAGUGAAGUCUUGAUCAGGACGUUGCUAUGUAAUCUUGCUGGAAUCCGGCACACACUUGAGACAGUAGGAAAACAAUCUGAGGAAACUGAGCAAAAUGACUUAUAGUCCAGGAGGAAUAUUUUUCCUACCAUGUUCAUGUAAUUGGACAGGAAAUUCAACUAAUAAUCCAUCCUUGUUAUGCCAGUUUUAAAAAGAUUCUCCGGCAUUACCUUUUUAAGACUGAAGGCCCAGACGUCAAGAGAUGAUGCCUGAUACAGUAGUUGACUAAUGAGUACUAUUUAGUGGAGAUUUUCAAAAGACAGUAUGGUAAACAGUCUAGAGAAGAAACAGAAGUGGUUAGUCUUGGACAAAACAGUCCAUAUAGGUAGCAAAGAGGAAAGAGGCAUGCGUAUGGACAGUAUGUUAUGGAAAAAUCAUUUUUCCUAGAACCGAGUGGAUAUAAUAAAGUCAUUUAUAUUUAUAGUUGGAGUGGGAGGCAAGAAUGGAAGAGAUAGCAUAAUUCCUGAUCAUUUAGAAUGACUCCAUACCAAAUACACUGACCAUCCCUGGAAUGAUAGAAAUAUUAGCAGGUAUAUCUACUAAUAAAAUGUAAAUUUUAUAACAGCUUCAAAAACUAGGAAUAAAAAAAUGGUUGCCAGGUGAGGUUCGGUGGGGUGAGGUUGGGAGGCGACGGCCAAGAAAGAAUUCUUGAGACGUCUUUGGUACAGAACGGUGGUUUAUUAAAGCACAGGAACAGGACCCAUGAGGAGAAAGAGUCUUGAGGCGGUUAUAUACUCCGGAAUUGGGGGAAGUAAGGAAAGGGAGGUUUCAAAAGAAAUUUCAUAUGCUAAAGAGGACCUACAAGAUACCUAGGAGAUAUCCAGACCCUGCCAUUGUCAAGUUAAGGUUGUUUUCCCCUCUAGCAAGGUAUUAGCAUUAAGAUAGUUCGAGAUCCCUGGAAGAAUGUCACACAGGUCCCACCCAGGAGUGGGGGGGGUGGUUGCUGCUGUCUGCUUAUGCUUUGUCUUCAGCUAGCC